rnacentral:rRNA from 1 species
GACGAACGCUGACGGCGCGCCUAAUACAUGCAAGUCGAGCGAAUCAAUAGGAGCUUGCUCCUGUUGGUUAGCGGCGGACGGGUGAGUAACACGUGGGCAACCUGCCUGUAAGACUGGGAUAACACCGGGAAACCGGUGCUAAUACCGGAUAAUCCUUUUCCUCUCAUGAGGAAAAGCUGAAAGUCGGUUUCGGCUGACACUUACAGAUGGGCCCGCGGCGCAUUAGCUAGUUGGUGAGAUAACGGCUCACCAAGGCGACGAUGCGUCGCCGACCUGAGAGGGUGAUCGGCCACACUGGGACUGAGACACGGCCCAGACUCCUACGGGAGGCAGCAGUAGGGAAUCUUCCACAAUGGACGAAAGUCUGAUGGAGCAACGCCGCGUGAGCGAUGAAGGCCUUCGGGUCGUAAAGCUCUGUUGUUAGGGAAGAACAAGUACCGGAGUAACUGCCGGUACCUUGACGGUACCUAACCAGAAAGCCACGGCUAACUACGUGCCAGCAGCCGCGGUAAUAC